AUCCAGUAGAUAUAAUAACCAUAUACAACUCUUAACGGUGGAUAUCUCGGUUCUCGC
rnacentral:rRNA from 1 species